GUCGUAACAAGGUUUCCGUAGGUGAACCUGCGGAAGGAUCAUUAAUGAAUGAACUUGGGCAAAGUUGUAGCUGGCCUCAGCAAUGGGGCAUGUGCACACUUUGUUCAUCCACCUUCACACCACUGUGCACUUCUCAUGGGUCGGGUUGCGUCUGAAAUAUGGCAAAGCCCUUCUCAUGUGUUUUACCACACACUACAAAAGUUUUAGAAUGUAACAAUCAUGCAUUAAUGCAUAUAAUACAACUUUCAGCAACGGAUCUCUUGGCUCUCGCAUCGAUGAAGAACGCAGCGAAAUGCGAUAAGUAAUGUGAAUUGCAGAAUUCAGUGAAUCAUCGAAUCUUUGAACGCACCUUGCGCUCCUUGGUAUUCCGAGGAGCAUGCCUGUUUGAGUGUCAUGGUAUUUCUCAACUCUGCUACAUUUUUUUGUAGCAGGGCUUGGACUUGGAGGUAUUGCCGGUGUUCUKUUUUGAACGCGGGCUCCUCUGAAAUGCAUUAGCUGGAAUGUUACCGAGCAUGAUUCAAUGUGAUAAUUGUCUACGUUGCUUCAACUUGGUAUUAAUUCUGUUUCAGCUUCUAAUCGUCCGCAAGGACAAUAUCUUGAACAUCUGACCUCAAAUCAGGUAGGACUA
rnacentral:rRNA from 1 species